GGUGUCGCUCUACCAACUUAAGCUACUGUUCUUACUCAUAUUCACCAUUUUUUAUGUCUUAAUUUUCUUAUGCAAUGCAUGUCUAAUUAAUUAUUGUCAGAUUAUUAUUUUUAGUGACUUAUCUUUUAUUUUUAUUUUAUUUUACUUUUAGCCUUCACUUUAAUGUUUUAUUUUAAUUAUGUCUUGUUGUGUUUAAUUUCUAUUUUAAUUCAAUCAUUAGCAUUCACAAACAUUUUCAC
rnacentral:lncRNA from 1 species